rnacentral:rRNA from 1 species
UGGGGAAUAUUGCACAAUGGCGGGAACUCUGAUGCAGCGACGCCGCGUGAGUGAUGAAGGAAUUCGUUUCGUAAAACUCUGUUCUAUGGGAAGAAAAGGACUGUACCAUAGGAGAAAGCUCCGGCUAAAUACGUGCCAGCAGCCGCGGUAAUACGUAUGGAGCGAGCGUUGUCCGGAAUUAUUGGGCGUAAAGGGUGCGCAGGCGGCUUUACAAGUUGGAUGUGAAAUAUUGUGGCUCAACCACAAACGUGCAUCCAAAACUGCAAAGCUUGAGUUAAGGAGAGGUAAGUGGAAUUCCGGGUGUAGCGGUGGAAUGCGUAGAUAUCAGGAGGAAUACCGGUGGCGAAGGCGACUUACUGGACUUAAACUGACGCUCAGGCACGAAAGCGUGGGGAGCAAACAGG